rnacentral:lncRNA from 13 species
CCCCCCUGUUUGUUAUUUAAUAAAGACUACUGCUUCUAAAAACCAUGCACAUCACAUGAAAAAAAAAGAAAACUGGCAGGGAAGUGGACAUGGAGAUGGGGAGAGGAGAACCAGAACCAGAACCAGGCCACCAUGUCGGUUACUUUACAUUUCCACUGCUUCACCAACACAGUUCACACCCCAGCCAGUCAGCGGAGUUCAGAGUUCAGGCGGUGUACGUGUGUCCUAUUCCUGACCUUAACCCCCGUUCUCUGACCUUACAGAGGGAUCUGACUCAGGACCACAGGUCUCCUCUGUUCUACUGAACGCAUAAGAAACUAACUGAAACCGAUAGGGUGUUGGUGAAAGUAAAGGAAAAUAUAUUUAUAUAUAUAUAUAUAUAUAUAUUCAUAUUUAUACGUUCAACAUGGCAAAUACAAUAAUUCCCCAUAGCUGUAUGAGUUUUGAAGUAAAGCUCAAUAUAGACUUUUUAUUAUAACAAAAUAGGCAGUAGACUGAGGGUUAAAUAUACGUUAAAAUCUCAGUGUACAAUAAAUUCUUUCGGUUUUUCUCUUCCUUCUUACUACUACUAAUACACCUGGAGUCAGUUUAAAAACAGCCUUUCAUUUACUCUAUUCCCGUUCAGGAAAUUAACCUGAAAGCUGAAUGGACAAAGACAUGAAUGCAUUUCCUUUACGAACCCCAGACAUGAAUGCAUUUCCUUUACGAACCCCAGACAUGAAUGCAUUUCCUUUCAAUAAUAUGAAGAAAAAAAAAAGUACAAGAAAUGAUUUAUUAUUUGUAUAUAUAUGCAUCUAAAUCAUGUUCCUUAAACAUUAAGGACUUGUACCAUAAAAAUCUCCCCAUAAAGGGGGGGGUCCUAUGUUCAGGGCAUAAAAUUAGACGUAAAAUCAAAGAAGAGAACGAGGACGGCAGAAAGAAAAAGGUAAUCUCUUCUGUUUCUCUUCUCCUUCACAACUUGUCCUUGGCAGGCACCCAGAUGAAGGGUCCUGACUGCUCCUCGAUGAUCCUCUUCACUGUGUUAUAAAUCUCCUCCAGAGAGUCCCCCUGGACGAUAGCUGCAACGACACACAUGUAAAACAUACUAAAUAUAUUUAUAUAGUAUAGCUGGGACAGGCUUUUACUGUAUUUUGCCAAUUAGUUAAUUCAGGGAACUGAGACAACUACUUAAUGCUGAAGAGGUUGAGACUGUAGUGAUGGGGAGGGGGGGCUGGACUCACCAGUGAAGUGCUCGGUGAACUCCUGCUCCAGCUUCAUGGCUCGGUCGAACGUCUUCCUCCCCUGGUCCUCUGUUAGCCUCUUAUUCAUCUCCCUAGAGAGAGAGAGAGAGAGAUA